CGCUCAUGGAGCUUCGUCUCGGGUGCGACGGCAUGGACUCGGGGAUGUACGCGCCGCUCUUGGACGAACAGCCGCGGUUGAAGCGCAGGUGGCCGCAGCUGUAGGAGUUGCUGUGUCCGCACGUUAAACACUUGUAGUAGUCCUAGCGCGUCGACGACGUCUUGAAGGUCCUGAUGGUCAUCUCCGACCGCCGCAUGCAGCCGCUCCUGCGCCGCUCACUCGCGUACUCGGUCAGCGACCACGAGUAGUGCGAACCACCGUUGCUGAAGCAGUUGUUGAUGACGGACCACGGGAAGAGGCGAUCCAGGGUCGUCAA
rnacentral:rRNA from 1 species